UACAGAGGUCUCAAGCGUUGUUCGGAUUCAUUGGGCGUAAAGGGUGCGUAGGUGGCAUGGUAAGUCGGAUGUGAAAUCCCGGGGCUCAACCCCGGAACUGCAUUCGAUACUGCUGCGCUAGAGUACUGGAGAGGAGAUUGGAAUUUACGGUGUAGCAGUGAAAUGCGUAGAUAUCGUAAGGAAGACCAGUGGCGAAGGCGGAUCUCUGGACAGUUACUGACACUGAGGCACGAAGGCCAGGGGAGCAAAACCGGG
rnacentral:rRNA from 1 species